CACCGAUAUCACGUUGAAACCCCGGUUACCGUACGAUCACAGUGGUUAAGCAACGUCGAGUCUGGUCAGUACCCAGAUGGUUGAAUGCUUGGGAAUACUAGAUGCUGUAAG